rnacentral:misc_RNA from 3 species
CACCACUCAAGCCUGGCUUGGUAUUGAGCGCCGCGGCCUGCCCGCGCGCUCCAAUGUCUCCGGCUGAGCCGUCCGUCUCUAAGCGUUGUGAAUAGCGAUCGCUUGCGAGGCCCGGGCGGUUCGACGCCGUUAAACCCCCCAUUUUCUAU